rnacentral:sRNA from 1 species
AAAGAUGUCGCACGCCUUCAGUCCUGCCUUCCGUAGGAUAAAAAUGGAGUUUAGGCCACGUGAAAUUAGUUGAAAAACUGUGAAUAGUAUUACUGAACGGAAAAUUUGGUAUUUCGUUAGAAAACAUGCGACCGGACUUUUCCACAGUGUAUAUUUGAUGAUGUUGUUACAUUGUUCAAUGGGAUCGUCAUUUUUCUCAUUAAAUAAGAGGUCCUGAAUUGAUGAGGUUCAUGCUGCAAUGCUUGCGGUGCUGAGGAGUGAAUAUGCAAAAUUGCAUUUUCAAGUGUUGUUCUACUGACUUACAGACCGGAAUUUUUUAAACCAACAUAAAGGAUAAUGGGUACGUAUAUAUAAUCCCUGUGCCUAACUCAAUGGAAAAUGGCGUCAAAAAAAGAAACACGUGAUUUUAAUUCCAAACCGUUCCCCAUCACCCAAGAGUUGACUGAAACGAAGUGGAAUGAAACAGGAAAGUUGCAUUUGGCGGCAAAACAUGACAACAAACCUAUGAGAAGAUCAGACCGAGACCAGACUCGUCCACAUGCACGAUAAGAGACAUAUCGUAAAAGAUGUUAUUUUGCCAACUUGAUGCAGCCCUGAAAUUACAUCCCAUUAAUUAAAAGUUGAGGGUCACUUGGCGUGUUACUAGAUUUGAUGUUUGCAAGUUAACUCACACCCAACAAAAGAUCCUUGAGAUGUUCGUGGAAACUGGCAAUAUAUUUAUAGUGAUUAAAUUAACUAUGAUUUUAUCAACAAAAAAUUAAAUAAAUUCAAUUUUUACAAAUCA